rnacentral:rRNA from 1 species
AGAGUUUGAUCCUGGCUCAGAUUGAACGCUGGCGGCAUGCCUUACACAUGCAAGUCGAACGGUAACAGGUCUUCGGAUGCUGACGAGUGGCGAACGGGUGAGUAAUACAUCGGAACGUGCCCGAGAGUGGGGGAUAACGAAGCGAAAGCUUUGCUAAUACCGCAUACGAUCUCAGGAUGAAAGCAGGGGACCGCAAGGCCUUGCGCUCACGGAGCGGCCGAUGGCAGAUUAGGUAGUUGGUGGGAUAAAAGCUUACCAAGCCGACGAUCUGUAGCUGGUCUGAGAGGACGACCAGCCACACUGGGACUGAGACACGGCCCAGACUCCUACGGGAGGCAGCAGUGGGGAAUUUUGGACAAUGGGCGCAAGCCUGAUCCAGCCAUGCCGCGUGCAGGAUGAAGGCCUUCGGGUUGUAAACUGCUUUUGUACGGAACGAAAAGACUCUGGUUAAUACCUGGGGUCCAUGACGGUACCGUAAGAAUAAGCACCGGCUAACUACGUGCCAGCAGCCGCGGUAAUACGUAGGGUGCGAGCGUUAAUCGGAAUUACUGGGCGUAAAGCGUGCGCAGGCGGUUAUAUAAGACAGAUGUGAAAUCCCCGGGCUCAACCUGNGAACUGCAUUUGUGACUGUAUAGCUAGAGUAC